UGAGUGAAGAAGGCCUUCGGGUUGUAAAGCUCUUUUGUCAGGGAAGAAACGGCUCCAGCUAAUAUCUGGGGCUAAUGACGGUACCUGAAGAAUAAGCACCGGCUAACUACGUGCCAGCAGCCGCGGUAAUACGUAGGGUGCGAGCGUUAAUCGGAAUUACUGGGCGUAAAGCGUGCGCAGGCGGUUUUGUAAGACAGAGGUGAAAUCCCCGGGCUCAACCUGGGAACUGCCUUUGUGACUGCAAGGCUAGAGUACGGCAGAGGGGGAUGGAAUUCCGCGUGUAGCAGUGAAAUGCGUAGAUAUGCGGAGGAACACCGAUGGCGAAGGCAAUCCCCUGGGCCUGUACUGACGCUCAUGCACGAAAGCGUGGGGAGCAAACAGGAUUAGAUACCCUGGUAGUCCACGCCCUAAACGA
rnacentral:rRNA from 1 species